UACGGAGGGGGCUAGCGUUGUUCGGAAUUACUGGGCGUAAAGCGCACGUAGGCGGUCUUUUAAGUCGGGGGUGAAAUCCUGGAGCUCAACUCCAGAACUGCCUUCGAUACUGGAAGACUUGAGUCCGGGAGAGGUGAGUGGAACUGCGAGUGUAGAGGUGAAAUUCGUAGAUAUUCGCAAGAACACCAGUGGCGAAGGCGGCUCACUGGCCCGAUACUGACGCUGAGGCACGAAAGCGUGGGGAGCAAACAGG
rnacentral:rRNA from 1 species